CCUACGGGAGGCUGCAGUGGGGAAUAUUGCACAAUGGGCGCAAGCCUGAUGCAGCCAUGCCGCGUGUAUGAAGAAGGCCUUCGGGUUGUAAAGUACUUUCAGUCGUGAGGAAGGUGUUAAGGUUAAUAACCUUAGCAAUUGACGUUAGCGACAGAAGAAGCACCGGCUAACUCCGUGCCAGCAGCCGCGGUAAUACGGAGGGUGCGAGCGUUAAUCGGAAUUACUGGGCGUAAAGGGCACGCAGGCGGUUAAAUAAAUUGGGUGGGGAAUCCCCGGGGUUUAACUGGGAAAUGGAAUCAAAGAUUGUUAGGUUAGAGCUUGGAAGGGGGGGUAGGAUUUCAUGGUGUGGGGUGAAAUGGGGGGGGGAGUGGGGGAAUACCGGGGGGGAAAGGGGGCCCCUGGGAGAAAGCUUGAGCUCAAGUGCGGAAACGGUGGGAGGAAACAGGGUUAGAUACCGUGUAGUC
rnacentral:rRNA from 1 species